UACGAGGGGGGCUAGCGUUGUUCGGAUUUACUGGGCGUAAAGCGCACGUAGGCGGAUCGAUCAGUCAGGGGUGAAAUCCCAGGGCUCAACCCUGGAACUGCCUUUGAUACUGUCGAUCUGGAGUAUGGAAGAGGUGAGUGGAAUUCCGAGUGUAGAGGUGAAAUUCGUAGAUAUUCGGAGGAACACCAGUGGCGAAGGCGGCUCACUGGUCCAUUACUGACGCUGAGGUGCGAAAGCGUGGGGAGCAAACAGG
rnacentral:rRNA from 1 species